AUAAGAAUUUAUACACAGUUUAUACAGACAGCGCUUCAUUCACUUUUUCUUUAACGCGAAUUACCUUUGACAAAUCGCAUGAUUCCUAGAGUUUUUCGGAAUACCGAACUCGCUUAUUA